GACGAACGCUGGCGGCGUGCUUAACACAUGCAAGUCGAACGGUAAGGCUCCAGCUUGCUGGGGUACACGAGUGGCGAACGGGUGAGUAACACGUGGGUGACCUGCCCUGCACUUCGGGAUAAGCCUGGGAAACUGGGUCUAAUACCGGAUAGGACCGCACCGUGAGGGUGUGGUGGAAAGUUUUUUCGGUGUGGGAUGGGCCCGCGGCCUACCAGCUUGUUGGUGGGGUAAUGGCCUACCAAGGCGGCGACGGGUAGCCGGCCUGAGAGGGUGGACGGCCACAUUGGGACUGAGACACGGCCCAGACUCCUACGGGAGGCAGCAGUGGGGAAUAUUGCACAAUGGGCGGAAGCCUGAUGCAGCGACGCCGCGUGGGGGAUGACGGCCUUCGGGUUGUAAACUCCUUUCACCAUCGACGAAGGGUUUCUGACGGUAGAUGGAGAAGAAGCACCGGCUAACUACGUG
rnacentral:rRNA from 1 species